rnacentral:rRNA from 1 species
CCUACGGGGGGCUGCAGUGGGGAAUAUUGCACAAUGGGCGCAAGCCUGAUGCAGCGACGCCGCGUGAGCGAUGAAGGCCUUCGGGUCGUAAAGCUCUGUCCUUAGGGAAGAAUAAUGACGGUACCUUAGGAGGAAGCCCCGGCUAACUACGUGCCAGCAGCCGCGGUAAUACGUAGGGGGCGAGCGUUAACCGGAAUCACUGGGCGUAAAGGGUGCGUAGGCGGCCCAGCAAGUCAGGAGUUAAAGCCCUCGGCUCAACCGAGGUAAGCUCUUGAAACUGUAGGGCUGGAGUGCAGGAGAGGAGAGUGGUAUUCCUCGUGUAGAGGUGUAAUGCGUAGAUAUUAGGAGGAACACCCGUGGCGAAGGCGACUGUCUGGACUGCAACUGACGCGGGGGCUCGAAAGCGUGGGGAGCGAACAGGAUUAGAUACCCUUGUAGUC